UCAAGACCCGGGAUAUAUAUGU
rnacentral:miRNA from 1 species